AGCCCACCAGCUAGCUCACCCCCUAAACAUAACAAUCAACUAUUAAUUAACCCCUAAAGACCUAGAAUACCCAAGGCCAAACCAUUUUUCCCCCUAAGUAUGGGAGACAGAAAAGGAUACAAGAAGCAACAGUGACAGUACCGCAAGGGAACGCUGAAAGAGAAAUGAAACAAACCAGUAAAGCACAAAAAAGCAGAGAUUAAUUCUCGUACCUUUUGCAUCAUGAUUUAGCAAGAACCCCUCAAGCAAAGAGCACUUUAGUUUGAUACCCCGAAACCAAGUGAGCUACUCCAAGACAGCCUUUUGGGCGCACCCGUCUCUGUGGCAAAAGAGUGGGAAGAGCUUUGAGUAGAGGUGACAGACCUACCGAACCUGGUUAUAGCUGGUUGUCCAGGAAUUGAAUAGGAGUUCAGCCCUUUGUCAUCUUUCCCCAUACGCUAGAGGCACCUUAAGCAUCAAAGAAGACAAAGGAGUUAGUCAAAGGGGGUACAGCCCCUUUGAAAAAGAUACAACUUUACCAGAAGGGUUAAGAUCAUAUCAUUUAUUAAGGAUCCGUGUUCUAGUUGGCCUAAGAGCAGCCAUCCACAUAGAAAGCGUUAAAGCUCAAACACCUCUCCGCCCCGACUAUUCGGACUGCAAACAUCUUACCCCCCUACACCUACUGGACCUUUCCAUACCCCUAUGGAAGAGAUUAUGCUAAUAUGAGUAAUAAGAGACCUUGCAUCUCUCCCCGCACGAGUGUACAUCGGAACGAACCAACACCGAAAAUUAACGUCCCCAAAAAGAGGGCACUGAAAAAUUAUGGCUACACCACAAGAAAAACAUCCAUCCGCCCAACCGUUAACCUUACACCAGAGUGCUUACAAGGAAAGACUAAAAGAAAAAGAAGGAACUCGGCAAACACCUAUAGCCUCGCCUGUUUACCAAAAACAUCGCCUCUUGCAAUCUGAGAAUAAGAGGUCCCGCCUGCCCAGUGACUAUUGUUAAACGGCCGCGGUACUCUGACCGUGCGAAGGUAGCGCAAUCACUUGUCUCUUAAAUGGAGACCUGUAUGAAUGGCACGACGAGGGCUAAGCUGUCUCCUUUUUCAAGUCAAUGAAAUUGAUCUUCCCGUGCAGAAGCGGGAAUUUGUACAUAAGACGAGAAGACCCUAUGGAGCUUCAGGCACUAAAGCAGACCAUGUUAAGUAAACCCGAACAAGGGCCUGAACCUAGUGACUACUGCUCGACUGCCUUUGGUUGGGGCGACCACGGAGCACAAAUAAACCCCCGUGUGGAAUAGGGGCAAAUACCCCCUUAAAUCCAGAGUGACAACUCCAUUAAGCAGAAUUUCUGACCAAAUAUGAUCCGGCAGAGCCGAUCAACGGACCGAGUUACCCUAGGGAUAACAGCGCAAUCCCCUUCUAGAGCCCAUAUCGACAAGGGGGUUUACGACCUCGAUGUUGGAUCAGGACAUCCUAUUGGCGCAGCCGCUAUUAAGGGUUCGUUUGUUCAACGAUUAAAGUCCUACGUGAUCUGAGUUCAGACCGGAGUAAUCCAGGUCAGUUUCUAUCUAUGAAAUGAUUUUUUCUAGUACGAAAGGACCGAGAAAAAGGGGCCCAUACUUAAGGUACGCCUCUCCCCCACCUAAUGACAACAACUAAAAUAGGUAACGGGGCAUAACCUUACGUCUAAGAGAAAGACU
rnacentral:rRNA from 1 species